ACAUGCUUACAAAAUAGUGUUAAUGCACUGGAUCCCAUUAGAACUCUAAAGUUAAGGGCGCUUGGGAUAGAGUAGUAUUUGGAUGGGUUACCUCCCAAGAAGUCCUAGUAUUUUACAUCCC
rnacentral:rRNA from 1 species